rnacentral:rRNA from 1 species
CAAAGAACUUUGAAGAGAGAGUUCAAGAGGGCGUGAAACCGCUGGGAAGGAAACGGAUGGAGUCGACGAAACUCGGCAGUAUUCAGCUGUGCGUUGGCGCGGUCGUGCGUUCGCAGACCCUGAUGAGGGUGCGGACGUGCGGUGCUGUGCCGCUGCACGUGCAUUUGCUGUCGGUGUGCGCUGGGAAUCCUGGUGUGCCGCGAUGAACCGUAGGAUGUUGCCCACAUCUGUGGUGUCUUGUCCGCGGCUAGGCGUGUGCGCACUAGGAGGAUGUUGCUGGUGUCUCCCGCAGGCGCUCGAGCGCUGCGUUCUGGUGUUUGCCUUCGGCGGUCGCAUGCGACUUGCUGUUGGUCGGUGCUAGGGCGUAGUGUGCGAGCGAGGAGGCGCUUUCCGGUGUUACCGUCGACCACCCAUCCGACCCGUCUUGAAACACGGACCAAGAAGUCUAGCAUGUACGCGAGUCAUUGGGUGGAAAACCUAAAGGCGUAAUGAAAGUGAAGGCCGCUCGAUCGGCUGAUAUGGGAUCUGUGUGGUUUCGGCCGCGCAGCGCACCAUAGCCCCAUCCCGUCUGCUUGCAGUGGGGUGGAGGUAGAGCGUACACGCUGGGACCCGAAAGAUGGUGAACUAUGCCUGAGCAGGAUGAAGCCAGAGGAAACUCUGGUGGAGGUCCGAAGCGGUUCUGACGUGCAAAUCGAUCGUCUGACUUGGGUAUAGGGGCGAAAGACUAAUCGAACCAUC